rnacentral:rRNA from 1 species
UACAGAGGAUGCAAGCGUUAUCCGGAAUCACUGGGCGUAAAGGGCGCGUAGGUGGUGGCUUAAGCGUGCGGUGAAAGCUCGGGGCUCAACCCCGAGUCGGCCGUGCGAACUGGGCUCACUGGAGCAUAGUAGAGGCAGGUGGAAUUCCGGGUGUAGCGGUGGAAUGCGUAGAGAUCCGGAAGAACACCGGUGGCGAAGGCGGCCUGCUGGGCUAUGGCUGACACUGAGGCGCGACAGCGUGGGGAGCAAACAGG